GUCACUUGAAUGAGCCCCAUAGGGCCGCACCGGACUCUGGAGGCAGUGCCCACCCCUCCCUCGAUCCAGUCACCCGCCUCACGGGGGUGGGGGGUGGGCAGUGUCACCAGUCCACGACUUGGCCCCAGAGCUGCCUAGUCCCUGGGGCGGUUCUCACAGCCAAGAGGGGCUAACAGGUGUAGACAAAUGGCCGCCCAGCCCUCCAGGCCUGGCAUCCCAAGAAUGUGAUAAGCCACCCAUGCUGCUGACCCCCACGGUGGGGGGAGGGAGGGGGGCUUGUUAUGUUUGCCCCGGGCCCUCCUGCCCUUCCCUCCAGCCCCUCAGCCGCUGGGUUCCCAGGGCCAUGGCAUUCACUGUUAAUUAACCAGGGGAAUGAAUAAAGCCGCGGCCCAGGUCCCUGCGGAGGGGCCCGUGCUUCCCAGAGCUCCCCAUUCAAAGGGCCUGGCGGUGGCUGUUCUGCACUCAGAGGCAAAGGGAACAUUUGCAGAGACAGGAGGAGAGACGGAAAGCCAGAGGGAGAGGGAGAGAGGCAGAGAGGGAGGGAGAGGGAGGGACGCGCAGAGACACAGAGACCGAAAGAGAACUCUGCAGCCCAGACAUCCUGUUCCAGUUUCAAGCUCGGCCUGGCGGGCCCCAGGGGCAGCUGUUUCGUUAGUGACAAGCUCCCCAAAGCCGUCCAGAGGACUGUGGGUGCUCUCGGCACCCUGUCUCGCGAGGGCCUGUUGCUAGCGGAACCCUGGCUUUGGGCAGAGGCCUCAGAGGAGAAGAGACAGAGUCAGAGUUAAACAACCCUGACGGGGGCCGGAAGCAACCAGGCCUCUUAUCACAGGCUCCAGAGCGGCCCUCAUGGUGGGUCUGGGAUCCGAGAGCAGGGGCACAGCCUUCCUUUGAAGGCGGGCCCCCUUUCCUCGCACAACCCAGAAUGUACGGCCUGAUCGACCGGAGAGGGCCAGGGAGAGCUUCAAGUGAAGGGUAGUGCUGCGGCCCCGCCACCAAGGCAGAUGGCCCCGUUCCACCGGUGGAAAACCGAGUCAGGGAUUCAAGGACUAGGGUAAGGCCGACAGCUUGCAGGGGUGGGCUCAGUCCCCCUCCUCUGUGCACCCCGUCCCUUUGGGGACACCGAAUGCAACACUGCGCCUGUGCUGCGAAAUCCCCGUGCUGUCCACGCGGGUGUGGCGUGGGGUCAGCUGGCCGUCCCCCUCCGGGACAACGCAGGUGUGGCCGGCUGUGCAAACCUCAGCCUUUCCAGAGCGAGGAGCUGAAGGCCCCUCCUGUUCCCUGACGUGCCAGAAAUUGGCUCCGGAACCAAGGAUCUUCCCAGGGCGCCAGCAUCCCUGUCCACUCCCCUUCCGCCCGGCAGCGUGCCUCCCCUCCAGACCCUGCUCGUCACCCUCUCCUCUGGCAAGCCUUCCAGUUGUCCCCGGCAGUGGCCCUGCCUCUUGCAGUCAAACAGGGGCCUCCUCCCUUCCCCCCUCCGCAAAGCGACGAGUAUCCUGAGAAGAGGAAGAGGGGACGAGGGGAGUCCGGAGACGGCCACGUGAGGACAGACGCGGAGGCUGGAGCUGUGCCUCGGCCGGCAGAGGAAGCCCAGGGUCACUGGCAGCCACCAGCAGCUGCGGGAGGGACCUGGGACCCGCACAGCCUCAGAGGGAACCCACCUUGCCGACACCUUGAUCUUGGACUUUGGACCUCCCGGAGACAAUAAACGGCUGUCGUAUUAAGUCA